CUUGCUAGUCGUAUCUGACGCUGAGGCACGAAAGGCGGGGAGCAAACAGGAUUAGAUACCCUGGUAGUCCGUUCUGUAAACGAUGAUUACUCGAUGGGCGCUAACGCGUCUGUCUAAGCGAAAGCAUUAAGUAAUCCACCUGGGGAGUACGCUCGCAAGAGUGAAACUAAAAGGAAUUGACGGGGGUCCGCACAAGCGGUGGAGUAUGUGGUUUAAUUCGUAAGUACGCGAGGAACCUUACCUGGGCUAGAAUGCCUCUGACAGUCUAAGAAAUUAGAUCUUCCUUCGGGACAGAGUGCAAGGUGCUGCAUGGCUGUCGUCAGCUCGUGCCGUGAGGUGUCGGGUUAAGUCCUUUAACGAGCGCAACCCCUUUGCUUAGUUGCCAGCACGUAAUGGUGGGGACUCUAAGCAGACUGCCUGCGUAAGCAGAGAGGAAGGUGGGGAUGAUGUCAAGUCAUCAUGGCCUUUAUGCCCAGGGCUACACACGUACUACAAUGGCAUAUACAAAGGGCUGCUACCUGGUAACAGGAUGCUAAUCUCAAAAGUAUGUCUCAGUUCGGAUUGAGGUCUGCAACUCGACCUCAUGAAGUUGGAAUCGCUAGUAAUCGCGUAUCAGCAACGUCGCGGUGAAUACGUUCUCGGACCUUGUACACACCGCCCAUCAAGCCAUGGGAGUCGGUAGGGCUUAAAGACAGUUGCUGUAAAAAGGGCUGUUUAGGGCUAGAUCGGUGACUGGGGCUAAGUUGUAACAAGGUAGCCUA
rnacentral:rRNA from 1 species